rnacentral:tRNA from 1 species
GGAAGGUAUAGAGUUAAUAAGGAUCUUCUAAAUCUUUUAUUGGGUAGUUUAAUUCUGUCCCCCUUCCU